GCACGUAGCGCAGCCUGGUAGCGCACCGUCAUGGGGUGUCGGGGGUCGGAGGUUCAAAUCCUCUCGUGCCGACCA
rnacentral:tRNA from 2 species